rnacentral:rRNA from 1 species
AUUGAACGCUGGCGGCAGGCCUAACACAUGCAAGUCGAACGAGUGGCGGACGGGUGAGUAAUGUCUGGGACACUGCCCGAUGGAGGGGGAUACCUACUGGAAACGGUAGCUAAUACCGCCUACCAUCGGAUGUGCCCAGAUGGGAUUAGCUAGUAGGUGGGGUAACGGCUCACCUAGGCGACGAUCCCUAGCUGGUCUGAGAGGAUGACCAGCCACACUGGAACUGGUACACGGUCCAGAAUCCUACGUGAGGCAGCAGUGGGGAAUAUUGAACAAUGGGCGCAAGCCUGAUGCAGCCAUGCCGCGUGUAUGAAGAAGGCCUUCGGGUGGUAAAGUACUUUCAGCGAGGAGGCGUUACUCGCAGAAGAAGCAACGGCUAACUCCGUGCCAGCAGACGCGGUAAUAC